rnacentral:misc_RNA from 1 species
AAUACAGGAAAUACAAUAAAAUUUGAACUCACUUUCAAGAGUAAGAACCUAAAGGUUGAACCUGAAAUGCAAAUUCUGGUUCUCCUCUGGCAGUCAACACCUUUCACUUUAUUAUCAAGGCACCUUUUGCCAGUCACAAUGAUGGUGCAUUUUCACUCUACCAGCCUGUACUUUUGUGCUAACCCGGAGUUAUUACUCAAGACCGUAGCUUUGUGCCUCUCACACCACAACUUUGUUCCACUCUAAAACGGUAGCUUUGUGCCAUCAGUGAUAAUGGGAGAAAUAUUUCCAAUCCAUGUGUAUAGAUACAGGGAAGGAGAAUGGGGAUUGGCGAAUUUGCGUUUUUGUUUUGCUCGUCUUAGGGUUUUUCUUGUG